rnacentral:rRNA from 1 species
GACAGAGGUGCCAAGCGUUAGGCGGAAUCACGUGGCUUAAAGCGUGUGUAGGCGGAUCGUUAAGUACCUUGUGAAAUCCCACGGCUUAACCGUGGAACGGCUGGGUAUACUGGCGAUCUUGAGCCACCUAGGGGCGAGCGGAACAAAUGGUGGAGCGGUGAAAUGCGUAGAUAUCAUUUGGAACGCCAACGGUGAAAACAGCUCGCUGGGGGUGUGCUGACGCUGAGACACGAAAGCCAGGGGAGCGAACGGG